GACGAACGCUGGCGGCGUGCUUAACACAUGCAAGUCGAACGGAAAGGCCCUGCUUUUGUGGGGUGCUCGAGUGGCGAACGGGUGAGUAACACGUGAGUAACCUGCCCUUGACUUUGGGAUAACUUCAGGAAACUGGGGCUAAUACCGGAUAGGAGCUCCUGCUGCAUGGUGGGGGUUGGAAAGUUUCGGCGGUUGGGGAUGGACUCGCGGCUUAUCAGCUUGUUGGUGGGGUAGUGGCUUACCAAGGCUUUGACGGGUAGCCGGCCUGAGAGGGUGACCGGCCACAUUGGGACAGAGAUACGGCCCAGACUCCUACGGGAGGCAGCAGUGGGGAAUAUUGCACAAUGGGCGGAAGCCUGAUGCAGCAACGCCGCGUGCGGGAUGACGGCCUUCGGGUUGUAAACCGCUUUCGCCUGUGACGAAGCGUGAGUGACGGUAAUGGGUAAAGAAGCACCGGCUAACUACGUGCCAGCAGCCGCGGUGAUACGUAGGGUGCGAGCGUUGUCCGGAUUUAUUGGGCGUAAAGGGCUCGUAGGUGGUUGAUCGCGUCGGAAGUGUAAUCUUGGGGCUUAACCCUGAGCGUGCUUUCGAUACGGGUUGACUUGAGGAAGGUAGGGGAGAAUGGAAUUCCUGGUGGAGCGGUGGAAUGCGCAGAUAUCAGGAGGAACACCAGUGGCGAAGGCGGUUCUCUGGGCCUUUCCUGACGCUGAGGAGCGAAAGCGUGGGGAGCGAACAGGCUUAGAUACCCUGGUAGUCCACGCUGUAAACGGUGGGUACUAGGUGUGGGGUCCAUUCCACGGGUUCCGUGCCGUAGCUAACGCUUUAAGUACCCCGCCUGGGGAGUACGGCCGCAAGGCUAAAACUCAAAGGAAUUGACGGGGCCCCGCACAAGCGGCGGAGCAUGCGGAUUAAUUCGAUGCAACGCGUAGAACCUUACCUGGGUUUGACAUGGAUCGGGAGUGCUCAGAGAUGGGUGUGCCUCUUUUGGGGUCGGUUCACAGGUGGUGCAUGGCUGUCGUCAGCUCGUGUCGUGAGAUGUUGGGUUAAGUCCCGCAACGAGCGCAACCCUUGUUCACUGUUGCCAGCACGUUAUGGUGGGGACUCAGUGGAGACCGCCGGGGUCAACUCGGAGGAAGGUGGGGAUGACGUCAAGUCAUCAUGCCCCUUAUGUCCAGGGCUUCACGCAUGCUACAAUGGCUGGUACAGAGAGUGGCGAGCCUGUGAGGGUGAGCGAAUCUCGGAAAGCCGGUCUCAGUUCGGAUUGGGGUCUGCAACUCGACCUCAUGAAGUCGGAGUCGCUAGUAAUCGCAGAUCAGCAACGCUGCGGUGAAUACGUUCCCGGG
rnacentral:rRNA from 1 species